UACGUAGGUGGCGAGCGUUGUCCGGAUUUAUUGGGCGUAAAGCGCGCGCAGGCGGUGCGGUAAGUCUGUCGUGAAAUCUCCCGGCUCAACUGGGAGGGUGCGGUGGAGACUGCCGGACUGGAGGCACUCAGAGGCCGGUGGAAUUCCCGGUGUAGUGGUGAAAUGCGUAGAGAUCGGGAGGAACACCGAUGGCGAAGGCAGCUCGCUGGGACGGUACUGACGCUGAGGCGCGAAAGCGUGGGGAGCGAACAGG
rnacentral:rRNA from 1 species